rnacentral:rRNA from 1 species
GAUGAACGCUCGCUACAGGCUUAACACAUGCAAGUCGAGGGGAAACGACAUUGAAGCUUGCUUCGAUGGUCGUCGACCGGCGCACGGGUGAGUAACGCGUAUCCAACCUGCCUCUGACCAAGGGAUAACCCGUCGAAAGUCGGCCUAAUACCUUAUGCAGUCGUCGGAAGUCAUCUGAUGACGACGAAAGAUUUCAUCGGUGAGAGAUGGGGAUGCGUCUGAUUAGCUUGUUGGCGGGGUAACGGCCCACCAAGGCAACGAUCAGUAGGGGUUCUGAGAGGAAGGUCCCCCACAUUGGAACUGAGACACGGUCCAAACUCCUACGGGAGGCAGCAGUGAGGAAUAUUGGUCAAUGGGCGAGAGCCUGAACCAGCCAAGUAGCGUGCAGGAUGACGGCCCUAUGGGUUGUAAACUGCUUUUAUGCGGGGAUAAAGUGAGGGACGUGUCCUUCAUUGCAGGUACCGCAUGAAUAAGGACCGGCUAAUUCCGUG